UCCCGGCGCGGAACACUUCCUCCCUGUCAGACUGGGCCGCGCUUCGUGCGCGGCCUUUUUU
rnacentral:ncRNA from 1 species